UCUCUAAGAACAUUGAGAAAGAAAAACUCACUAGGCACUUUCACUCGUGAUUUAGCGCGAUUUAGAGUUAGAUUUUGAAUAUGCUGAAGUUGAACAAAAGAUAGAUCAAGGCAUUAUUUCAUCACCUUUUGUGUCAUUUAAAGCUUCAGGAGUAGGAUUUGCCUAGCGAAGUGAAUUACGAAGUUGAUCAAGGUAAAAUAAUUCAUCUUAGUAGCAAACAAGGAGGAGAUGAAUGAUUGAAGAAUUUGUAUUUCAAUCUUCGCUGUCCUUUUUGAGGGGCCCCAUGACGCCGGCCAUCAUUGCCACCUAUUGUUGAACCCAAAUAAUGAUAAUGAUCCUCGAACUUUCAGACUUCGAACCGCUCACAUCAUCCGAAGACCAAUUACGUUUGGACGCAUCCCUUUUGACAUCCCUCAUUGACUGGUGGAGACCUGAAACCCACACCUUUCACUUUCGUUUUGGGGACCUUGCACCUACACUGAAAGAUGUUUCUAGGAUCACUGCUCUACCAAUUAGA